ensembl:lncRNA
CUCUGCUUUUCUGAUGCAAGAAGCUGCAAGAUUCCAUCUCUGCCAUAAUGUCAUCCUGUUGGCUGGCUACAUCCACAAAGUUCAACAAACCAGUUCAACCUGAAGAAAGAGAGAGGGAGAGGGAAGAUUUUGACUCUAAGAUGAAACCCGAAUCUUCCAGUAAAUGUUAUGGCAUCUGGCAGAUAGAGGCCAGAGUUGCUGCUGAAUACCUUAAAAUGCACAAGACAACUCCUCACAACAAAGAAUUACCUGGUCCUAAAUGUCAACAAUGCUGAGGCUGAGAAAAUCUGCUUUGGAGUGAGCUUGGCCAUCUGGAGGCACUAAAAAUGCAGCCAAUCCAACAACUGAAAACCACGGGUGAAGUGUUGUAAUCAACAUCCCACUGAGAAGAAUUGCCCAGUUGACUCCUGCCUGCAUUGCUGCUCCAAAAUAUUGGGAGGUAUAAUAAAAUGGUUUGUUUAAAG